GUGAACCUGCGGAAGGAUCAUUC
rnacentral:rRNA from 6 species